GCGAUCAUACCAACACUAAUGUACCGGAUAACAUCAGAACUCCGCAGUUAAGCGUGCUUGGAUGAAAGUAAAACUUGGAUGGGUAACUCCCGGGAAGUCCUCGUGUUGCACCCC